rnacentral:lncRNA from 1 species
ACUCUUUGGGAAUGGUGUACCCUGAUUGUCUAAAUGGUGCCUCAACAAGGGAGCGGAGACCUUAUGUUGGAAAACGAGACUAGGGAGUGGAGAUCCUAUAUCGCAAAUAACGUCAACUAGGGAGUGAAGACCCUAUGUUGGAAAAGAAAACUAGGGAUUAGAGACCAUAUGGUGAAAACGAGACUAGGGAGUGGAGACCCUAUGUCUAAAAUAACAUCAACUAGGGAGUGGAGACCCUAUGUUGGAAAAGAGACUAGGGAGUGGAGACCCUAUGUCCAAAAUAACUUCAACUAGGGAGUGGAGACCCUAUGU